rnacentral:lncRNA from 1 species
CCUCCCCUCCUCCCGCUUCCCUCUCUCUCUGCUCCACUCCUCACUAGCUCUCUCCCUCUCCUCGGGCGGAAUCGCCCACCGCUGCCAGCCCCGUGCUGGGGGGACCCGUGCCAGGCUGCAGCCGCAGGUGCUGGGUCAGGCCCGGCCAGUGCUGCCUGCAGUCUCCCUUCCAUCCCUCGAGACCUGCCAGCCUCAGACCUGUCUCUCCUGGGGACCCUGUCAUGUCCUGGGACAGUGGGUGCCUCCCGUGCCUCCCUGGAGAAGGGCCCCAGCAAGAGGAAACCGGGUUUUGCAGGAAAAGGCGCUGAGCUGGGCUGCUUUCCCCAGCCCCUAGGGAGGGCGGCCAGGCGGGCAGGGACAUCAGAACUGCGGUGGAGGAACAGCUGAGGCGCUGGCUCUCAGCCUGUGGGCGAAGUUGGGGGCCGACUGCGGGUUAGACUCCCAGAGCAACUCUGCAGACGGAAUGAAGUUACCAGGAGGCCUGAGGCUGGCAGCCAGGGGUCUGAGAGGGAGGAG